AUUUUUACAGGAACUGACAUAUAUUCCUAUACAAAUGUACAUGUAUCAUAUAUUAGGAUGGUAUUCGUAAGGAACGAUCAACAAAUUUAAUUAAUUUAGAGUUGUGUUGCUAUUUAUACUAUUUUCUGUUGUUUGACUGGGUUUUCUUAGUAAGAAUCAUUCAUUUCUAGGUGUUUUACUUGAUUAUUCUCAGUUUGUCUGUCCAGAGAAAAAAAGUAGAGACGGGGUUUCACCAUGUUGGCCAGGCUGGUUUUGAACUCCUGACAUCAAGUGACCCACCCACCUUGGCCUCCCAAAGUGCUAGGAUGACAGGCAUGAGCCACCGGGCCUGGCCACUUCCAAUUCUUUUACCUUCUAGAUAAUGUGAGUAAGCAUCUUUGUUUUAUAGAUUUUAGACAUUAUGUCUUCCUAUUAUGACAAAGGAGAAUUUUAUUUAUUUAUUUAUUUAUAAUGUCAAUUUUUAUUUUAGAUUCAGGGGGUAUAAAAGAUGGCGAGUGCAGGAGAUGGAAGAGACUUGAGUGAUUUGUGCCUUCAACACCUUUAUAUUAUAGUUGAGAACACAGUGGAUCAGUGUGGGCUCUGGUUUGCUCAAGUUCAAUGGCUAGUUCUUUUCCUCUUAUAGGGAGAGGUAUUGUCAAUAACUUUAACAGGAGAGAAUCCCAAAGAAAAGCUAUUUUAUUUGAGAAUGAAUAUGUAGCCUCAUGUAGAGACCUACUCAGGUUUAAGUGCCUUACAUUAGAUACCUUCAAGUCACUC
rnacentral:lncRNA from 1 species